rnacentral:rRNA from 1 species
CCUACGGGCGGCAGCAGUGAGGAAUAUUGGUCAAUGGGCGCGAGCCUGAACCAGCCACGUCGCGUGAAGGAUGACUGCCCUACGGGUUGUAAACUUCUUUUAUAAAGGAGUACAGUGAGGCACGUGUGCCUUUUUGUAUGUACUUUAUGAAUAAGGAUCGGCUAACUCCGUGCCAGCAGCCGCGGUAAUACGGCGGAUACGAGCGUUAUCCGGAUUUGUUGGGGUUAGAGGGUGAUUAGGCGUAAUAUCAAGUCAGCGAGAAACAUUCGGGGCUAAACCCCGUCGUGCCGGUGAAACUGAUGUUCUUGAGUGGGCGAGAAGUAGGCGGAAUGCGUGGUGUAGCGGUGAAAUGCAUAGAUAUCACGCAGAACUACGAUUGCGAAGGCAGCAUACCGGCGCCCAACUGACGCUGAAGCACGAAAGCGUGGGUAUCGAACAGGAUUAGAUACCCCUGUAGUC